rnacentral:misc_RNA from 1 species
AAGUCGUAACAAGGUUUCCGUAGGUGAACCUGCGGAAGGAUCAUUAAUUAUAUGUAAUUAUUAUGAUUAUAUUUAAUUAGCCACAUAAUUUGAUGUAUUAGAUUAAGCUUCGGCUUAUGAUGAUUCUGAAAGUUUAAUGGCAUUCUUCUCUUUAGUUUUAAUCUUUCGAUUGAAACGUUAAUUCAGGCCUAAAAACCUGAAUCUAUAUCAAUGUUAAAUUUUAAUUUAUCAAAACUAUAUUCUAAUUAUUAAUUAAUUUUAAUUUUUAAUAACUAAUAACAAUGGAUCUCUUGGCACUG